rnacentral:rRNA from 1 species
CCUACGGGGGGCAGCAGUGGGGAAUAUUGGGCAAUGGGCGCAAGCCUGACCCAGCAACGCCGCGUGAAGGAAGAAGGCUUUCGGGUUGUAAACUUCUUUUCGCAGGGACGAAGCAAGUGACGGUACCGGAGGAAUAAGCCACGGCUAACUACGUGCCAGCAGCCGCGGUAAUACGUAGGUGGCAAGCGUUAGCCGGAUUUACUGGGUGUAAAGGGCGUGUAGGCGGGACUGCAAGUCAGAGGUGAAAACCCUGGGCUCAACCUAUGGCCUGCAUUUGAAACUGUAGUUCUUGAGUACUGGAGAGGCAGCCUGACUUCCUCGUGUAGCGGUGACAUGCGUAGAUCUUAGGAGGCACACCAGUGGCGAAGGCGGUCUGCUGGACCGCACCUGACGCUGAGGCUCGAACGCGUG